rnacentral:rRNA from 1 species
UGAGGAAUAUUGCGCAAUGGGGGAAACCCUGACGCAGCCACGCCGCGUGGGUGACGAAGGCCUUCGGGUCGUAAAGCCCUGUCAGAUGGAAAGAAACCCCUAUGGGUUAAUACCCCAUAGGAUUGACGGUACCAUCAAAGGAAGCACCGGCUAACUCCGUGCCAGCAGCCGCGGUAAUACGGGGGGUGCAAGCGUUGUUCGGAAUUACUGGGCGUAAAGCGCGUGUAGGUGGUCUUGUAAGUCAGACGUGAAAGCCCUCGGCUUAACCGGGGAAGUGCGUUUGAUACUGCUUGGCUUGAGUCUCGGAGAGGGUUGUGGAAUUCCUGGUGUAGAGGUGAAAUUCGUAGAUAUCAGGAGGAACACCAGUGGCGAAGGCGACAACCUGGACGAUGACUGACACUGAGACGCGAAAGCGUGGGUAGCAAACA